rnacentral:rRNA from 1 species
UACGUAGGGUGCGAGCGUUGUCCGGAAUUAUUGGGCGUAAAGAGCUCGUAGGCGGUCUGUCGCGUCUGCUGUGAAAACCCGAGGCUCAACCUCGGGCCUGCAGUGGGUACGGGCAGACUAGAGUGCGGUAGGGGAGAUUGGAAUUCCUGGUGUAGCGGUGGAAUGCGCAGAUAUCAGGAGGAACACCGAUGGCGAAGGCAGCCCCUGGGCUAGCACUGACGCUCAGGCACGAAAGCGUGGGGAGCAAACAGG